rnacentral:rRNA from 1 species
UACGUAGGUGGCAAGCGUUGUCCGGAAUUACUGGGUGUAAAGGGAGCGCAGGCGGGCGUGCAAGUCAGCUGUGAAAUCCAUGGGCUUAACCCGUGGGCUGCAGUUGAAACUGUAUGUCUUGAGUGAAGUAGAGGUAGGCGGAAUUCCGAGUGUAGCGGUAAAAUGCGUAGAUAUUCGGAGGAACACCGGUGGCGAAGGCGGCCUACUGGGCUUUAACUGACGCUGAGGCUCGAAAGUGUGGGGAGCAAACAGGAUUAGAUACCCUGGUAGUCCACACUGUAAACGAUGAUUGCUAGGUGUGGGGGGUCUGACCCCUUCCGUGCCGCAGUUAACGCAAUAAGCAAUCCACCUGGGGAGUACGGCCGCAAGGCUAAAACUCAAAGGAAUUGACGGGGGCCCGCACAAGCAGUGGAUUAUGUGGUUUAAUUCGAAGCAACGCGAAGAACCUUACCAGGUCUUGACAUCGAGUGACGUACCUAGAGAUAGGUAUUUCCUUCGGGACACGAAGACAGGUGGUGCAUGGUU